rnacentral:rRNA from 1 species
UUUCUUUGCUGGCGACCGGCGCACGGGUGAGUAACACGUAUCCAACCUGCCGAUAACUCGGGGAUAGCCUUUCGAAAGAAAGAUUAAUACCCGAUGGCAUAAUAGAACCGCAUGGUUUGAUUAUUAAAGAAUUUCGGUUAUCGAUGGGGAUGCGUUCCAUUAGGCAGUUGGUGGGGUAACGGCCCACCAAACCUUCGAUGGAUAGGGGUUCUGAGAGGAAGGUCCCCCACAUUGGAACUGAGACACGGUCCAA